GACGAACGCUGGCGGCGUGCUUAACACAUGCAAGUCGAACGGAAAGGCCCUGCUGUUGUGGGGUGCUCGAGUGGCGAACGGGUGAGUAACAAGUGAGUAACCUGCCCUUGACUUUGGGAUAACUUCAGGAAACUGGGGCUAACACCGGAUAGGAGCUCCUGCUGCAUGGUGGGGGUUGGAAAGUUUCGGCGGUUGGGGAUGGACUCGCGGCUUAUCAGCUUGUUGGUGGGGUAGUGGCUUACCAAGGCUUUGACGGGUAGCCGGCCUGAGAGGGUGACCGGCCACAUUGGGACUGAGAUACGGCCCAGACUCCUACGGGAGGCAGCAGUGGGGAAUAUUGCACAAUGGGCGGAAGCUUGAUGCAGCAACUCCGCGUGCGGGAUGACGGCCUUCGGGUUGUAAACCGCUUUCGCCUGUGACGAAGCGUGAGUGACGGUAAUGGGUAAAGAAGCACCGGCUAACUACGUG
rnacentral:rRNA from 1 species